AACUUCCCUCCGCUGCAAGAAGGGCCGCCCGUCCCGGCCGGAGAAGGCUUGCAGGGGGUAAGGCCUCAGGGCGGUUUUCUGGCGGCCACGAACAGGAGCGGCGGGCGCCUCGGUCUCCUCAGCGCCUUUGUAACCAGGACGCUUGGGACGUGGCUUCUUCAGUCUCAGGCAGACUCGCGGCCACCUGUUCAUCUUUGUGAACUUACCCGCAGUUCGGGGGUUUAGCGAUGUCUUGUGAAAGCUCCUUGCUUUACAACGAUGUGCUGCAAAGCUUUCUGGUAACUUUCAGGUAUUGUCUCAGCUUCACUUUACUAAGAAGCAUGAAAACUAAGAAUCAAGGCAAUCUCUUAUAUUUUCUCACAUUCGUGGAUAUUAAGAUGUUUUACCACUGCAACUGUAAAACAAGAUCAGCUGUGACACUGUUUUUUGCCGUUCUGCUUUUGAUCCUUCCCAAUUUCAGACCUCCCUGCCAUCCUGGAGGUCACUGUCCUUGCUGUGCUAGCUCAGCCAUGUCCCCUCGUCCUCCUUUGAGUGUGAGCCAACGCUGAUACCUGACUCAGCCUUUGACUCAACCACAUCACUUCGGUCUUCCAGCAGAACUUACUAAAAUAGACACUCAACAAGAAGGAAGCUAUCAUCUGCAUACUGGCCUCAGAAAUGGUAAACCUGGAAUUUCAGUCUUCAGCAGAAGUCUGAAUGAUUAGUCCAGCUAAACAGCUGAGCUGCGUGCACGAUGCCCUGGAGCAGGAAUAAGAUAGUGGGGAUGAGUGCUGAGAUGCUGAUGCUGCUGCAGGAAACCAAGGCCAUAAAAAAAUCUUUUUGCCAAGUCCCUCAACAAAGAAGUGAAGCUGUUGUAGGAUGAGAGGACUCAUUGUUUAAUAUCUUUUAAAGUACAGUAAGCAAAGGCCAGAUUUCACAACAGAGGAAGAAAGAUUAUCAGUGCAGCCUGAAAGAGAUCCAUGCUUUCCAACUUACUGGAUUAUUAGACUAAGAGAAGAAAACAAGAAGGUUGCUGAUGAUACAGAAUUAUGUGGGAAAGUAAAAGCUACUGAAAAAGGUUAAAAAUUAUUUAAUAAUACAGAUCAUAAACAAAAUGGCAGGUGAAAUUCCAUGCUGGUAAAUGUAAAGACAAGUUUUUCUCUGGCUGCGUCACUAUGUUUAUACGUACACACAGUGAUGAGCUUUAAAUGAGCUAUUACCAUGCACUAAAGAGAUGUAUGAAAGUGUCAGUCAAAAAAAUCU